CCUACGGGCGGCUGCAGUGAGGAAUAUUGGUCAAUGGGCGCUAGCCUGAACCAGCCAAGUAGCGUGAAGGAUGACUGCCCUACGGGUUGUAAACUUCUUUUAUAAAGGAAUAAAGUGAAGCACGUGUGCCUCUUUGCAUGUACUUUAUGAAUAAGGAUCGGCUAACUCCGUGCCAGCAGCCGCGGUAAUACGGAGGAUCCGAGCGUUAUCCGGAUUUAUUGGGUUUAAAGGGAGCGUAGAUGGGUUGUUAAGUCAGUUGUGAAAGUUUGCGGCUCAACCGUAAAAUUGCAGUUGAUACUGGCAGUCUUGAGUACAGUAGAGGUAGGCGGAAUUCGUGGUGUAGCGGUGAAAUGCUUAGAUAUCACGAAGAACUCCGAUUGCGAAGGCAGCUUACUAAACUGCCACUGACAUUGAUGCUCGAAAGUGUGGGUAUCAAACAGGAUUAGAUACCCGAGUAGUC
rnacentral:rRNA from 1 species